AACAGAGAGAGAGAGAGGCAAGAGGGAAACGGAAAGACUGGGAGUGGGAAACGCACAAAGAACAGAGCGGGAAACAGAGAGAGAGAGAGAACGGAGCGGGAAACGCAGAGAAUGCGGCUGUGCACGGGGGACAAAGCCGGGACGCGAACGGCCCCGCAGCACCGGGAGGACGGAGCGGCCACGCCACGCCGAUCUUGCUGCUCCUGAACCUCCAGCCAUUGCAGUUCCCAUCAAUCCACUGCUCUCAGGUUUCUGGCACGCCCUGGAGUCCAGCAGAGUGCACAGAAAAGACAAAGCUCCUGCAUUAUGUGUGGCCAGUAGAAACACCUUUGCCUGAAAUCAAUUGAAACCAUCCAUCUGGAGCAAACAAGAAAAUUAAGCACUUAAGAAAAAAAACUUUACAGCUUACCACCCUCAACCCAGG